rnacentral:lncRNA from 1 species
CAUCAAGAAAGUAGCUGCAAUUUUGCAGUCAUUAGGAACUGCUUCAUCGGUUUUGUAGCGUAAUCUAUGUCACUCUAAACAUCCGCAAUCUGCUGCAGAGGAGGUGCCACUUAUUUGUUUUUCAGUGUUUUGAACUAGGUUUACACUGCUAUCGUGGAUACAUAUAUGGUAAAAAUUAAUGAAUUCUAGCUAAAAUUUUUUCUGAGGGGUUUCCAAAGAAGCAUCUCCACCCCUGCUCUGCUGCACUCACAUGAUAUGUUU